rnacentral:lncRNA from 1 species
AAAACCCUAGACUUGAGAGAAAAAGAUGAGAGGGAAAUAAGGAGGAAAUACAAAGGAAGAUUUGGGAUUUCAAUGUAAGAUUCAAGAUUUCAACCCUUCAUUUCUUCAAGAAUACAUUCAAGGGACGAGUUUCUUCUAUUAUUUUGUAUCUUUUCAUUAUCUCCCUCAUUUUUGUAAUGGAUUUCAUCUCUAAAUCCAUUUUCUAUCUAUAUUUAGUAAUG